rnacentral:rRNA from 1 species
GGUUGAUCCUGCCAGUAGUCAUAUGCUUGUCUAAAGGAUUAAGCCAUGCAUGUCUAAGUAUAAACUAUUUUAUACGGUGAAACUGCGAACGGCUCAUUAUAUCAGUUAUAAUCUACUUGAUCAUAAACUCUUACUUGGAUAACCGUAGUAAAACUAGAGCUAAUACAUGCUAAAAACCGUGAGCCUCUUCGGGGGUAAGCGGUGAAUUUAUUAGAUUAAAAAUCAAUGCGGGGCAUUCCAAACUGGGUCGUAUCGGAAACGGUUCGGCCUGGGUCCCGGUUAAUUGAUGAUU